UACGGGGGGAGUAAGCGUUGUUCGGAUUUACUGGGCGUAAAGGGCGCGUAGGCGGUCGUGACAAGUCACUUGUGAAAUCUCCGGGCUUAACUCGGAACGGUCAAGUGAUACUGUCGGACUAGAGUACAGAAGGGGCAACUGGAAUUCUCGGUGUAGCGGUGAAAUGCGUAGAUAUCGAGAGGAACACCUGCGGCGAAGGCGGGUUGCUGGGCUGAUACUGACGCUGAGGCGCGAAAGCCAGGGGAGCGAACGGG
rnacentral:rRNA from 1 species